GGGCCUGUAGCUCAGGGGUUAGAGCCGUCGACUCAUAAUCGACCCGUCGCUGGUUCAAAUCCAGCCAGGCCCACCA
rnacentral:tRNA from 1 species